rnacentral:rRNA from 1 species
GAUGAACGCUGGCGGCGUGCUUAACACAUGCAAGUCGAACGAAGCACCUUGAUUCGAUUCUUCGGAUGAAGAUCUUGGUGCCUGAGUGGCGGACGGGUGAGUAACGCGUGGGUAACCUGCCUCAUACAGGGGGAUAACAGUUAGAAAUGACUGCUAAUACCGCAUAAGACCACAGCACCGCAUGGUGCAGGGGUAAAAACUCCGGUGGUAUGAGAUGGACCCGCGUCUGAUUAGGUAGUUGGUGGGGUAACGGCCUACCAAGCCGACGAUCAGUAGCCGACCUGAGAGGGUGACCGGCCACAUUGGGACUGAGACACGGCCCAAACUCCUACGGGAGGCAGCAGUGGGGAAUAUUGCACAAUGGGGGAAACCCUGAUGCAGCGACGCCGCGUGAGCGAUGAAGUAUUUCGGUAUGUAAAGCUCUAUCAGCAGGGAAGAAAAUGACGGUACCUGACUAAGAAGCACCGGCUAAAUACGUG